UAGGGAAUUUUGGGCAAUGGGCGAAAGCCUGACCCAGCAACGCCGCGUGAAGGAUGAAGUAUUUCGGUAUGUAAACUUCGAAAGAAUAGGAAGAAUAAAUGACGGUACUAUUUAUAAGGUCCGGCUAACUACGUGCCAGCAGCCGCGGUAAUACGUAGGGACCAAGCGUUGUUCGGAUUUACUGGGCGUAAAGGGCGCGUAGGCGGCAAUUCAAGUCAUCUGUGAAAUCUCCGGGCUUAACUCGGAACGGUCAGAUGAUACUGCUUUGCUAGAGUGCAGAAGGGGCAAUCGGAAUUCUUGGUGUAGCGGUGAAAUGCGUAGAUAUCAAGAGGAACACCUGAGGUGAAGACGGGUUGCUGGGCUGACACUGACGCUGAGGCGCGAAAGCCAGGGGAGCAAACGGGGAUUAGAUACCCUAGUAGUCCCUGAGCGGGCUGGCAAGGCGCAU
rnacentral:rRNA from 1 species